UACGUAGGUGGCAAGCGUUAUCCGGAAUUAUUGGGCGUAAAGCGCGCGUAGGCGGUUUUUUAAGUCUGAUGUGAAAGCCCACGGCUCAACCGUGGAGGGUCAUUGGAAACUGGAAAACUUGAGUGCGGAAGAGGAAAGUGGAAUUCCAUGUGUAGCGGUGAAAUGCGCAGAGAUAUGGAGGAACACCAGUGGCGAAGGCGACUUUCUGGUCUGUAACUGACGCUGAUGUGCGAAAGCGUGGGGAUCA
rnacentral:rRNA from 1 species